rnacentral:rRNA from 1 species
UACCAGCACCCCGAGUGGUCGGGACGAUUAUUGGGCCUAAAGCAUCCGUAGCCGGUUUUACAAGUCCUCCGUUAAAUCCAGCUGCUUAACAGAUGGGCUGCGGAGGAUACUAUAAGACUAGGAGGCAGGAGAGGCAAGCGGUACUCAGUGGGUAGGGGUAAAAUCCGUUGAUCCAUUGAAGACCACCAGUGGCGAAGGCGGCUUGCCAGAAUGCGCUCGACGGUGAGGAUGAAAGCUGGGGGAGCAAACCGG